rnacentral:lncRNA from 1 species
UCGGAGAGAUGCAUGAUUUCCCAUAAUUCACUCCCUUAAUUAAACGGAACUGCAUGCCCAUCUGUCUAAACGUGUUGAGAGGAGAAUGGUUAAUUAAAAUGAUAGCCUCCUUCCACAUUCCCAAGCUUAUAUAGUAGCCAAACAUCAGACCCAACACUUCUCGUAGCCCCUUUUUUCAAUUUGUAGCCACUUUUUAACACCUUGUAGCCUACAGAACUAGAAGUAAAAAAAAUGUCAUCGGAGAAAACAAAAACAAAGGACUUGUCGGAAUCCGAUGUGUCCUGUCUCAGUUUCGAGGAAACUGAACUCACUCUUGGGUUACGCCGAGAUUCAGAAAAACAAAUCUGUGGUGCGAAACGUGGAC